rnacentral:rRNA from 1 species
GUGGCUUAAUUUGACUCAACGCGGGAAAUCUUACCGGGUCCGGACACACUGAGGAUUGACAGAUAUAUACCCCGUGAUUUUAUCGCGGGGUUGAAAGAUGCUAGUUCUUUCAUGAUUAUGUGAUAGGUGGUGCAUGGCCGUUCUUAGUUCGUGGAGUGAUCUGUCUGCUUAAUUGCGUAUCAAUAAUAGAGACCUAGUAUACGCGUAGACUCAUGCGGUAGUGACCCCCCUUCACAGGGCGCGUGUCGCACGUAUGUUAUACGCACAGGUCUCCGAUAGCAACGAACGUGACCGUACUCUAUUGUUGCAGCGACAAUACCUUUCAACGGGUAUUACCGCUGCUUAGCAAGAUUCGUCUUGCAUUAAACUAUAGAGACCGCUGUUUCUUCUUUAAACCAGAGGAAGGAUACGGCAAUAACAGGUCUGUGAUGCCC